CAAUAAAGAGGCCGGCGGAAGAUGGGGAGCUGCGUCUGCAGGAGGAGGAUUGUCCAUAGACCGGCAAAGCCGGUUUUAGCGGAAGCGGGGCAUUUAGGUUCUGCUCUUAGUUGUUCCUUGAGUUGAGUGGGUUUGGGUUGCUGUGUUUUGUAUCAAAACAUUAAAAGUUUGGGGUGUAGUUUCAAUAGUACUGGGAGUUAGCUGUCCAUUUUUUUGUGGUUUUAACGCGCGUGUAAGGCAUCUGCCAUUAUUCUAGGCAGUUUUGGGGGGGGGUGAUACAAGGCAAUAACGUCCCAUGAGAAGCUUCUCAACAUUUGCCAUCUUGGGUUUAAAUAGAGCCGUAGGAGGGAGUACUUUUGGUAUUUUGCUGUCACAUGUGAAGGAUUCCACUUGCGUUCAGCAGCUGCUGCAGUUUUACUGCCUCUUGUUGGAGGUCACCAAACCCACGGCGGAACUGGCAUCUCCCCAUCUGUUUCAUGGCAAAAUUGCACUCACUGUGCUUCAACUUGAGGCAAGGAUGUAACGAUUAGGACAAGUCUUGCUGUCUACUCCUCCCACACCUCCAUACUGCCAGAUUUGGAUAACCUUUAUGAGAGAAAAAAACCUUCACAGCAGGAGGUGGUGUAUGUCCUGACCGGUGCUUUGGAUUAAAAAUCCUUAAGAUUAAGUGCAAACAGGGAGCCAGCAGAUAUUCGCAAGAGGACCAUCCGCUGAGGACAAGGAGAGAGGGCAGCCCUUCCAAAAAAUGAGGUCGCUGGAAACAUGCCUACGUUCGUGCAAGGUCUGUUGCUGAGCCUGAAGUUGUUCCAGUCUGGCACUCUGCCCCAAAACACUGCCUCCUCUUUUGAAAAGCAGGACUAUAAAUCACAGGUGGGCUUGAACCAGAAGCUGGUUGAAGCUCAAAAAUUGCAUAUGUUUCUGGAAACAUCUGAUUCAUGUCCAAAAUAUGCUGCUGGUCUCUACUUCACUACAUCUCCGGACUGAACGUGUGAGGGUGGGCUCAGCUUCCCCUGGAGUUCAAGCUGUGUGGAUCUGGAGACCUCUCUUGUUUCACCCGUACAACUACUACUUUAGCCUGAAUCUGACCCACAUUUAUUUGACAAGCUGAAUUCAAGCUGCUGGUUACAAGCCUACAUCCCGAGAGGUCCUUUCUCCUGGAAGCUGGAGAAUCCUCCCUGCCGACCGGGGCAGCUCGUCCGUCCGAAACAACAUGUGGUGUAAAGUCAUGUUUAGGGUAUGUGACUUAAAAGGGAGUUUAAGCAGGUUGUCUCUCCCAGCUUUUUGUCCUGUGAUGUCUUGUACCAUGUAGGUGACCACAGCAAUCCAGAACGGCUUAUUUUAUGUGAAAAAGCUCCUUCCUUGAGCUGUCCUUCAGGCUCCACUUCUUAGACAGCUAACUGCCAUCCCUGUUCCGUGAGCAAUGAAUCGAUGGCACACAAAUCUCAGAUCACAGCCUUCACCGCUUCUCUGGCUUCCUCCCUGCUCCUUCACACCCUUCAGUGGUUUUAAAAAGAAGGUAGCAGCAGAACUGGGAAGGUUGUCCAGAACUGCUCAUCUCCUUUUGCUGACCCCCAAAUGGUCGUACCCUGCGACACUCACGGAGCAAGGGAGGAUGCUGCUGCACCUUUAAACUCACUUUAUUUUCCUGGCAGCGCUGCCCCUCUGCCCAGGGGGGCCGAGGUCUCUUGGGGUCCUGCCAUCCCCUUUCUUGUGGCCACAGAGUGGGAGGUGCUCUUCUUUCCAUGUCAAAAUGUGCAAAAUGAUGGCACUUGAGGACAGCCUCACCUCUAAACCAUGUGUUUCCCUGGAGGGUUGCCCAAGACCGCUCCCAGUUGGAUGGGGAUAACUGAAUCAAGAAGCCUCAGCCUGCUCCCACCAGCCCAGUGGUUCACCCCACAGGCAUGGUCCCCAGGCAUGGCCCCCAGGCAUGUCCCCUCCCUCCGCAGACUGCCAGUGGCACAUGGGGUGGCGGUGCCCGAGAGCGGGACCUGGGCUGGGUGCAGGUGGAGGAGUGGUGGCAGGCGAGGGGGGCGCAGCGGCAGGGUCCCCUGCGCCACGCUGCCAGGGGCAAGAGGGGACGAGGCACGCGGGAGCAAAGGCAGCCUCUCCCCUGGGUGCCAUGCGGCGGGGGCAUCACCUUCAUGCCCAUAAUUCCACUACCAGCUUGUGGCCAGUGACUAAAAUAACCUCAAGUCAAUUUUUAACUUUCCCAGCACCUGAGCUCCUUUUUCAGCAAGAUGACGUGGCCCCCUGGGAGGCUCAGGCACUGACGAAGCCACGGUCUGGCUGGAUUUCCCCUUCUGCCGCUGACGAAAACCACCGCUUCCUUCCCCAGCAGUGGGUGGGUGCCUCGGGCCCCCUCCCUGCCCCAUUCUGCGGGGCCGCCAGGUGCCUGCCGUCCUCCCCAGUGCCCCCUGGUAGAAACACCAGGUCCCCAUACCAUUUUUGUGCUCCCAUAGCAUUUUUGUGCUCCCGAUCCCUUGCACCCCCAGGGGAAGGCUGAUGGAAAAAGCUGUCCCAGAUGGCACACGCUAAAUGCACCAAGAGGCUUUGGUGCGGCCGGAGGUCGGGGAAGAGGGUUUCAAGGCUCUUGGCAGCACAUGGCCGUCACACCUGAGUGGCACUUGGGCACGCUCACUGUUGGUCCCGCUCCGGGCAGAGGUGUCGGAGUAAUUUAUAGGCACGUGGCCAACCCCCAUCUCACUUAAAUGAUGAUUUCUUGUUAUGCUGGGGAGCGUGCCCAGCUGCUUUCGAAAGGAUGCUAACAGCUUUCUGAAAGCAAAUACAUUACAUGUGCUCCGUCGAGACAGAACGGUGCUGCCUCUCUUCUUCUGAGAAGGGUGGGGGUGAGCCCCGAUCAAUCAAUUAGCACUGAUUAACCAGGAGGAAGAGGAAAGCUGGCUCAGGUAACGUGUCCCUGCUCCCCAAGUACUGGAGCAGAGCACUUCAGGUCACGGCGCUCCUCAAUCACAGCCUUUGAUGCAUGGGGUAAAGCUCUUCCUGGCUGCUUUUAAGUAAGGAAUAAGUGAGCAUUGGGGCUGGGCAGGGGGUGCCCUGGGGAGGAGGGGAUGGGGAGCUGGGGUGGGGGGCCAGGGCUGGGCAGUGGGGCAGGGUAGGUGAGGCACCGUCACCCCGCAGGGAGCUGGCUCACAGGGCUGCCUUGGGAACAUACCCUAUCUGGGUGCUCCCCGCGUCGCAGACAUUUGUGCUUUAUCACUUUAAUUCCUCGUUUCCUGGUUUUCACUUUCGACCCACACGGUGGCAAAGGCAGCGCUGCAGCAGCCCCAGGCUUGCUUGGGUGUUUUCAACGCAGCAUGGCAUUGCAAACAGACGUCGGAGGUGCCUGGCUGCCGUGCAAAACCAUGGGAGCUCUGACCACAGGAGCUCAGCCCAGCUCCCUGAAAUCAGAGUUGCCUCUGCAGUCCAGCCCCGGCUGUUGAGAGGCAUCGAAUCAGCUCUGUGAUAGACUGAGGGCCGGGGAUGGGGUUUUAGGCAGCAGGGAGCUCUGCUGUGUUUUGUCCAGUUGAAAUCAGUGGCGUUUCUGGUGGGAAUCGCCGGCUGCAUGGGUGAAUGGGACCCGUGCACACUCCUGAAGAGAGUCCCGAAGGAAUGUGGGCAAAUCCACUGCCUGCCCAAACCGAGAGGCCUCCAAGAGCCCAAUUUUCACCCUUAUUUCAGUUCCAGGGAUGGAGUUUUUAAUACAAUAUUUUGUCAGCAGACGAACACCCAUUGAGAACUACAAGGGCAUUGCCAGGGUGUGCAGGGAUGCAGUUAGAAAAGCAAAAGCUCAGCUUGAAUUGAAAUUGGCCGGAGAUGUCAAAAGCUACAAGAAAGGGUUCUUCAGGUCUGUAAACAACAAGCAGAAACAGAAGGCAAACAUUGGCCUGCUGUUAAACAGGAGAGGUGAAUUAGUCACCCACAAUGCCCAAAAGGCAGAGGUUCUCAACACUUUCUUCACCUCUGCCUUUACCAGCACUGUUGGGACCCGGGCCUUGGGAACAAAAAUCCAGGUUGGUGCAAACACAGACCCACCACCAGUGAAGGAAGAGUUGGUCUGUGAACUAUUACAUGAGCUUGACCCCUACAAAUCGAUGGGCCCUGACGUUAUCCAGCUGAAGGUGUCAAGAGAGCCACCCUGCAGGAAGAUCUGGACAGGCUGGAAGG